rnacentral:rRNA from 1 species
GACGAACGCUGGCGGCGUGCUUAACACAUGCAAGUCGAACGGAAAGGCCCUGCUUUUGUGCGGUGCGCUAGUGGCGACCGGGUGAGUAACACGUGAGUAACCUACCCUUGACUUUGGGAUAACUUCAGGAAACUGGGUCUAAUACCGGAUAGGAGCUCCUGCUGUAUGGUGGGGCUUGGAAAGAUUCGCCGGUUGGGUAUGGACUCGCGGAUUAUCAGCUUGAUGGUGGGGUGGUGGCUUAGCAAGGCUGUGACGAGUAGCCGGGCUGAGAGGGUGGCCGGAUAGAUUGGAACUGGAUUACGAACCAGACUCGAAUGGUAGGCAGCAGUGGGGUAGGUUGCACAAGAGGAGGGGGACUGAUGAAGAGUGGCCACGUGUGGGGUGAGGGCCUUCGGGUUGUAAACCGCUUUGGUUUGUGACGAAGCGUGAGUGACAGUAAUGGGUAAAGAAGCACCGGCUAACUACGUG